rnacentral:lncRNA from 1 species
AGAAAGAAUAGUAACGGAUACUAUACUUUCUGGUAACAGCUCGAAAACUAAUUUUCAUUUUGUACCUGGAACUAUAUUUUUCGAUUGUGAUAAAAAAUGAAAAUAUUUGAGGACUGAGCUGUAACCGGAACUGAAACUUUCUCUCAUUGUAUUUUCACCUAU